CUACAGGCCAGGUUAUGGACCCCACAGCUAAACUGGUAACGUAAAGUUGCAGAGCCAGAGAAUUUCCAUUGGAUCGGCCAAGCUGGGACUGUUUCUAACUUAGGGAAGACCAACAACUGAUUGGUACCAGAGCCAUUUAUUUGAAAUGUGAAUACCCUUACAUUUCAAAUAGUUCACAAAAAACAAAAAUGUUUUCUUGAAGUGAAUAAAUCUACGACUAUAUUUAUAAAUACACGCUGUCUAAGCAUAUUUGGUGCCCAGGAACUUCUUGGGUUUGAAUCCCAACCUGAUGGCUUUCUGAAUGGAGUUUAAAUGUUCUCCCUAAACAAGCCUGGUGUUUCUCUAGAUACUUCCUCCCAGUCUCCAAAAACAUGCAUGAUGGCUUAAUUGGUCUUAAUUGAUUAACUAAUCCCUGUUAAGAGUGAGUUGGUGAGUGCAUGAUGGUUGGUCUCUUGGUUGCAACAUGGCGACCGGUCCAGGACGUACCACAUUAAAGUGUACGUUAUUUUUCACUCCAAAUCCAACACUACCCAUGUCUACUUUCAUGAGAACAAUGGAACUUCACAAAAUAACGCAGCAGCCUGCUGGAAGCUGAAGAGCUCUUGUAAGAGCCUCCAAUACUCUUGAGGCAGGAAGUGACUGAUCGUGGACCAUGAAUGCAUCACAUUCCCCUCUUUACCCGUCUCCUUCCACCUCCUCCUCCUCUUUUCACCCUCAGUGAGGGUGCCAACAGAUGAUUUCUGCCAAGAGUCUCCCCGGGAAAAGCGUGUGGUGUCUCCCUUUCUUUCUGAGUCUGACUGUUUACGAGAGUGCCCUUCCACUUUGAUGGCAACAUUGGCAGUAAGUGUCUAAUAGAAGAUAAGCACCAUACAAGUGUUCAUGGCCAAACACUCCCCCCACCAUCAUCAAGCUGAGUGUUACAGAGGGAACACUGUAUCCUAUUUUAUAUCUUCUUAAAGCAUGCAUACACACCACUCUCAAAGCGCACCCAUGCAAGAAUAGACUUUACUAACAGAAUACAAAGAGUUUGGAUCCUCUGCCACAAAGCUGCCUGCAUCACUUUUCACUCUCUCUCUCUCUCUCUCACACACACACACACACACACGCACACACACACAUGCCUACACACGCAUCCCCAAGUCUGAUGAUGAAUCCCAGAGAUGGGUUUCAGCUCUUGAAGGACACUAAAGAGAAAGUGCAGCUUUGCACCAAUAUGCUGAAAGCUACCCGCAAUCAUUUUUUCCUUUUAACGUGUGUCCAACUCCCCCACAGAAACACACAUCUAUGUACACCAACCCCGGCGAGACACUGGAGUGCUUUGAAACAAAAAAAGCGAAGGACGAAAGCAACAGACGGCACUUCUGCAGAAAGACAGAGGAAGAGUCCUUGACUGCCAGCUGACCCUGCAGCUUGUUUGUGCCGGUUCUGAAAAGGCUUUCUGACGGGUUCAGUUUUAUUAGGUGACAGGCAAGAGAUGGAGGAAGAGCUAAGAAUGAUGGAGGACACAAAAGGUCUGAGUCCACAUUGUCAAGCAAUGAGUACAACACGCGACCUGCUGCCAUGUUUCUAUGCAGGUGCAGACUGAUAAAUGGUCGGCAUUGUUUCAGAAAUAGUCAGAGUGAAUUGUCUUCUCAUAUAAUGUCCCAACAGGCUGCAAAAACAGGGCUGGAAGGACAAUCAGAGCUGAAUCAAAGAACAUGGCUGUGCUCUUCCAUGUUGGACGUCACCCGGAUGAGCAUGAGUAUUUACAUCUACAGUGAUGAAGAGAGAUGGCGUGGCGCGGCCGGAGUUUAUUUUUCACUGAGGUCACCAAACCAGUGGGACUUUUUACAGUUCCAGUAGUAUAGUUUGCCUCUAUAAAUCAGGCAGCAUUCAGUAAUAACUGUUUAAAUCUCAUUUAAAGUCACAUUUCUACUUUGACUUUCUUCCUAAACUGAGUCAUUUUAUUGGUAUCCUGCCCCA